rnacentral:rRNA from 1 species
AUUGAACGCUGGCGGCAGGCUUAACACAUGCACGUCGAACGAGCGGCGGACGGGUGAGUAAUGUAUGGGGCUCUGCCUGAUGGCGGGGGAUAACUACUGGAAACGGUAUCUAAUACCGCAUACCAUCAGAUGAACCCAUAUGGGAUUAGUUAGUUGGUGAGGGAAAGGCUCACCAAGCAGACGAACUCUAGCUGGUCUGAGAGGAUGACCAGCCACACGGGGACGGAGACACGGCCCAGACUCCUACGGGAGGCAGCAGUGGGGAAUAUUGCGCAAGGGGGGCAACCCUGACGCAGCCAUGCCGCGUGAAUGAAGAAGGCCUUCGGGUUGUAAAGUUCUUUCGGUAGCGAGGCGUUAACUACAGAAGAAGCACCGGCUAACUCCGUGCCAGCAGCCGCGGUAAUUC